CGCCCUUCAGAGGGGGACAACAGUUGGAAACGACUGCUAAUACCGCAUACGAUCCAAUCUCGGCAUCGAGGAUGGAUGAAGGGUGGCCUCUAUUUAUAAGCUAUCACUGAAGGAGGGGAUUGCGUCUGAUUAGCUAGUUGGAGGGGUAACGGCCCACCAAGGCGAUGAUCAGUAGCCGGUCUGAGAGGAUGAACGGCCACAUUGGGACUGAGACACGGCCCAG
rnacentral:rRNA from 1 species